rnacentral:rRNA from 1 species
GACGAACGCUGGCGGCGUGCUUAACACAUGCAAGUCGAACGAAGUGGCGCACGUGUGAGUAACGCGUAAUCAACAUGCCCUUCAGAGGGGGACAACACCUGGAAACGACUGGUAAUACCGCAUACUGAAGGUGGUGAUUGCGUCUGGUUGGCUAGUUGGAGGGGUACCGGCCCACCAAGGCGAUGAUCAGUGGGCUGUGUGGGAGGAUGAACGGCCACAUUGGGACUGGGAUACGGCCCAGACUCCUACGGGAGGCAGCAGUGGGGAAUCGUACGUAAUGGAAGGAAGUCUGACCGGGAAACGCCGCGUGAGGGAUGACGGCCUUCGGGUUGUAAAGCUAUGUUAAUCGGGACGAAGUACCGGAAGAGAAAGCCACGGCUAACUACGUGCCAGCAGCCGCGGUAAUAC